GAAAUAGUACUAAAUAUUAAAAGUAAAUUUCCAGUACUGCAUUUUUUUAGUACAGAAAUAGUACCUAUGCAAAAGUAGCUGUGUAUACAAGCUUUAUAAAAAUCUUUCUGAUAUCAGUAUGACAAUUUAGAGGUGUCUAAAGAUGUAUUCUCUGCCUUUUUGUGAUUUCUGUUUGAAGAUAUUGUUUUAUUUUGUAUGCAUGCUUGAAGAAUAUCAGUAGACAUAUGUUCUUUAAUAUAAGGUCCCACAUUAAUAUACUUUACUUAAUAAGCUUAA
rnacentral:lncRNA from 1 species